rnacentral:tRNA from 1 species
UCGUGAUGGAAUAGAGGUAAUUCCCCGGGUCUUUUUUUCCCGGAGAUGUGGGUUCGACUCCCACUCGCGAC